rnacentral:rRNA from 1 species
AUGCAAGUCGAACGAGAAUCUGCUGAAGGAGGAUUCGUCCAACGGAAGCAGAGGAAAGUGGCGGACGGGUGAGUAACGCGUGAGGAACCUGCCUUGAAGAGGGGGACAACAGUUGGAAACGACUGCUAAUACCGCAUGACGCAUAGAGGUCGCAUGAUCUUUAUGCCAAAGAUUUAUCGCUUCAAGAUGGCCUCGCGUCUGAUUAGCUGGUUGGCGGGGUAACGGCCCACCAAGGCGACGAUCAGUAGCCGGACUGAGAGGUUGAACGGCCACAUUGGGACUGAGAUACGGCCCAGACUCCUACGGGAGGCAGCAGUGGGGAAUAUUGGGCAAUGGGCGCAAGCCUGACCCAGCAACGCCGCGUGAAGGAAGAAGGCUUUCGGGUUGUAAACUUCUUUUAAGAGGGAAGAGCAGAAGACGGUACCUCUAGAAUAAGCCACGGCUAACUACGUGCCAGCAGCCGCGGUAAUACGUAGGUGGCAAGCGUUGUCCGGAUUUACUGGGUGUAAAGGGCGUGCAGCCGGGUCUGCAAGUCAGAUGUGAAAUCCAUGGGCUCAACCCAUGAACUGCAUUUGAAACUGUGGAUCUUGAGUGUCGGAGGGGCAAUCGGAAUUCCUAGUGUAGCGGUGAAAUGCGUAGAUAUUAGGAGGAACACCAGUGGCGAAGGCGGAUUGCUGGACGAUAACUGACGGUGAGGCGCGAAAGUGUGGGGAGCAAACAGGAUUAGAUACCCUGGUAGUCCACACUGUAAACGAUGAAUACUAGGUGUGCGGGGACUGACCCCCUGCGUGCCGCAGUAAACACAAUAAGUAUUCCACCUGGGGAGUACGAUCGCAAG